UACGAAGGGAGCUAGCGUUGUUCGGAAUCACUGGGCGUAAAGCGCACGUAGGCGGAUGUGUCAGUCAGGGGUGAAAUCCCGGAGCUCAACUUCGGAACUGCCCUUGAUACAGCACGUCUUGAGUCCGGAAGAGGUGGGUGGAAUUCCUAGUGUAGAGGUGAAAUUCGUAGAUAUUAGGAAGAACACCAGUGGCGAAGGCGGCUCACUGGCCCGAUACUGACGCUGAGGUGCGAAAGCGUGGGGAGCAAACAGG
rnacentral:rRNA from 1 species